ACGGCAGCACGGGAGCUUGCUCCUGGUGGCGAGUGGCGAACGGGUGAGUAAUAUAUCGGAACGUACCCUAGAGUGGGGGAUAACGCAGCGAAAGUUGCGCUAAUACCGCAUACGAUCUACGGAUGAAAGUGGGGGAUCGCAAGACCUCAUGCUCAUGGAGCGGCCGAUAUCUGAUUAGCUAGUUGGUAGGGUAAAAGCCUACCAAGGCUUCGAUCAGUAGCUGGUCUGAGAGGACGACCAGCCACACUGGAACUGAGACACGGUCCAGACUCCUACGGGAGGCAGCAGUGGGGAAUUUUGGACAAUGGGCGCAAGCCUGAUCCAGCAAUGCCGCGUGAGUGAAGAAGGCCUUCGGGUUGUAAAGCUCUUUUGUCAGGGAAGAAACGGUGGACUCUAAUACAGAUCACUAAUGACGGUACCUGAAGAAUAAGCACCGGCUAACUACGUGCCAGCAGCCGCGGUAAUACGUAGGGUGCAAGCGUUAAUCGGAAUUACUGGGCGUAAAGCGUGCGCAGGCGGUUUGGUAAGACAGAUGUGAAAUCCCUGGGCUCAACCUAGGAAUUGCAUUUGUGACUGCCCGACUAGAGUGUGUCAGAGGGGGGUAGAAUUCCACGUGUAGCAGUGAAAUGCGUAGAGAUGUGGAGGAAUACCGAUGGCGAAGGCAGCCCCCUGGGAUAACACUGACGCUCAUGCACGAAAGCGUGGGGAGCAAACAGGAUUAGAUACCCUGGUAGUCCACGCCCUAAACGAUGUCUACUAGUUGUUGGGUCUUAAUUGACUUAGUAACGCAGCUAACGCGUGA
rnacentral:rRNA from 1 species